UACGGAGGGGGCUAGCGUUGUUCGGAAUUACUGGGCGUAAAGAGCUCGUAGGUGGUUUGUCGCGUUGUUCGUGAAAACUCACAGCUCAACUGUGGGCGUGCGGGCGAUACGGGCAGACUGGAGUACUGCAGGGGAGACUGGAAUUCCUGGUGUAGCGGUGGAAUGCGCAGAUAUCAGGAGGAACACCGGUGGCGAAGGCGGGUCUCUGGGCAGUAACUGACGCUGAGGAGCGAAAGCGUGGGGAGCGAACAG
rnacentral:rRNA from 1 species